GUUAGGAAUAUUGGACAAUGGGCGAAAGCCUGAUCCAGCCAUGCCGCGUGAACGAUGAAGGCCUUCGGGUUGUAAAGUUCUUUAGCCGAUGAUUAUAAUGACUGUAGUCGGAAAAUAAGCCCCGGCUAACUUCGUGCCAGCAGCCGCGGUAAUACGAAGGGGGCGAGCGUUAUUCGGAAUCACUGGGCGUAAAGCAUGCGUAGGCGGUUUUGUAAGUUAGGAGUGAAAGCCCAGGGCUCAACCUUGGAAUUGCUCUUAAAACUGCAAGGCUCGAAUCUCGGAGAGGAUAGCGGAAUUUCCAGUGUAGCAGUGAAAUGCGUAGAUAUUGGAAGGAACACCAGUGGCGUAAGCGGCUAUCUGGACGAGUAUUGACGCUGAGGCACGAAAGCGUGGGGAUCAAACAGGAUUAGAAACCCGAGUAGUCC
rnacentral:rRNA from 1 species